CGGAGACCGGGUUGUGCAGCGCGACGUGCUGACGGGAGGGCGGCGGGAACCUGCAGACCGCGGAGGAGCGGGGUUUCAGCCGGAAAUCCUUUUGUGCAAUUGCUCAUUUACACUUGUUCAUCAAGGCCUUUGAGUCCUCAAGGGCAGAAUUUACCUGUAAACAGAAAGAUGGAAACUAAAGAACAUUUAUUCUGCCAGGCAGAAGAAAAUACUGAUUUAACAGAUGAUGGCUGUAAUUGUUUUGCAACCAACUUGCCAUUGAGACAUAGUGACAGCACAAAAUGCAUCAAGUUUUCUAAAAUGACAGAGAAGAGAAUUUCACCUGAAAUUAGGGGUUUGAUCCCAGAACACACA